rnacentral:rRNA from 1 species
ACCGAACGUUAGCGGCGCGCCUAACACAUGCAAGUCGAGCGAGAAAGGGCUUCGGCCCCGGUAAAGCGGCGCACGGGUGAGUAACACGUGGAUAACCUACCCCUUGGUGGUGGAUAACCUUCCGAAAGGAGGGCUAAUACAGCGUAAGACCACGACUUCGAAAGAGGUUGAGGUAAAGUGGGCCUCUGUACACAAGCUCACGCCAGGGGAUGGGUCCGCGGCCCAUCAGCUAGUUGGUAGGGUAACGGCCUACCAAGGCGAAGACGGGUAGCUGGUCUGAGAGGAUGAUCAGCCACACUGGAACUGAGACACGGUCCAGACUCCUACGGGAGGCAGCAGUGGGGAAUCUUGCGCAAUGGACGAAAGUCUGACGCAGCGACGCCGCGUGAGUGAUGAAGGCCUUGGUUGUAAGCUCUGUGGAGAGGGACGAAUAAGUGUCGUCGAAUAGACGGCAUGAUGACGGUACCUUCUUAGUCAAGCACCGGCUAACUCUGUGCCA